AUAUAAGCGUUGAUAAGGGGUAGUAAAUAUCAUGAUAAUUUCAGAGAGCUACUAUGUGGUGUGAAGUAGCGUUGUCAUAUAUUGAACUUUCCUUUGAGCAUGUUGAAAACAACACGUGGCCUACGUUAGAGGUAAAUGAGAUUAAAUAAAGGUGGUACCACGGGUAAAAAACUCGUCCUAUAU
rnacentral:ncRNA from 1 species